GACGAACGCUGGCGGCGUGCUUAACACAUGCAAGUCGAACGGUAAGGCUCUUCGGAGUACACGAGUGGCGAACGGGUGCGUAACACGUGACCAACCUACCCUUAACACCGGGAUAACAUUUGGAAACAGAUGCUAAUACCGGAUAUGACCUCUUGAGGCAUCUCGAGAGGUGGAAAGCUCCGACGGUUAGGGAUGGGGUCGCGGCCUAUCAGCUUGGUGGUGGGGUAACGGCCCACCAAGGCGACGACGGGUAGCCGGCCUGAGAGGGCGACCGGCCACACUGGGACUGAGAUACGGCCCAGACUCCUACGGGAGGCAGCAGUGGGGAAUAUUGCACAAUGGGCGCAAGCCUGAUGCAGCAACGCCGCGUGCGGGAUGACGGCCUUCGGGUUGUAAACCGCUUUCAGCAGGGACGAAGCUAACGUGACGGUACCUGCAGAAGAAGCAUCGGCCAACUACGUGCCAGCCGCCGCCGUAACAC
rnacentral:rRNA from 1 species